rnacentral:rRNA from 2 species
AGCUUGCUCCCUGAUGUUAGCGGCGGACGGGUGAGUAACACGUGGGUAACCUGCCUGUAAGACUGGGAUAACUCCGGGAAACCGGGGCUAAUACCGGAUGGUUGUUUGAACCGCAUGGUUCAAACAUAAAAGGUGGCUUCGGCUACCACUUACAGAUGGACCCGCGGCGCAUUAGCUAGUUGGUGAGGUAACGGCUCACCAAGGCAACGAUGCGUAGCCGACCUGAGAGGGUGAUCGGCCACACUGGGACUGAGACACGGCCCAGACUCCUACGGGAGGCAGCAGUAGGGAAUCUUCCGCAAUGGACGAAAGUCUGACGGAGCAACGCCGCGUGAGUGAUGAAGGUUUUCGGAUCGUAAAGCUCUGUUGUUAGGGAAGAACAAGUACCGUUCGAAUAGGGCGGUACCUUGACGGUACCUAACCAGAAAGCCACGGCUAACUACGUGCCAGCAGCCGCGGUAAUACGUAGGUGGCAAGCGUUGUCCGGAAAUUAUUGGGCGUAAAGGGCUCGCAGGCGGUUUCUUAAGUCUGAUGUGAAAGCCCCCGGCUCAACCGGGGAGGGUCAUUGGAAACUGGGGAACUUGAGUGCAGAAGAGGAGAGUGGAAUUCCACGUGUAGCGGUGAAAUGCGUAGAGAUGUGGAGGAACACCAGUGGCGAAGGCGACUCUCUGGUCUGUAACUGACGCUGAGGAGCGAAAGCGUGGGGAGCGAACAGGAUUAGAUACCCUGGUAGUCCACGCCGUAAACGAUGAGUGCUAAGUGUUAGGGGGGUUUCCGCCCCUUAGUGCUGCAGCUAACGCAUUAAGCACUCCGCCUGGGGAGUACGGUCGCAAGACUGAAACUCAAAGGAAUUGACGGGGGCCCGCACAAGCGGUGGAGCAUGUGGUUUAAUUCGAAGCAACGCGAAGAACCUUACCAGGUCUUGACAUCCUCUGACAAUCCUAGAGAUAGGACGUCCCCUUCGGGGGCAGAGUGACAGGUGGUGCAUGGUUGUCGUCAGCUCGUGUCGUGAGAUGUUGGGUUAAGUCCCGCAACGAGCGCAACCCUUGAUCUUAGUUGCCAGCAUUCAGUUGGGCACUCUAAGGUGACUGCCGGUGACAAACCGGAGGAAGGUGGGGAUGACGUCAAAUCAUCAUGCCCCUUAUGACCUGGGCUACACACGUGCUACAAUGGACAGAACAAAGGGCAGCGAAACCGCGAGGUUAAGCCAAUCCCACAAAUCUGUUCUCAGUUCGGAUCGCAGUCUGCAACUCGACUGC